GUACACUCCUGCGGGAGGCAGCAGUGGGGAAUUUUGGACAAUGGGCGAAAGCCUGAUCCAGCAAUGCCGCGUGAGUGAAGAAGGCCUUCGGGUUGUAAAGCUCUUUUGUCAGGGAAGAAACGGUGAAAGCUAAUAUCUUUUGCUAAUGACGGUACCUGAAGAAUAAGCACCGGCUAACUACGUGCCAGCAGCCGCGGUAAUACGUAGGGUGCAAGCGUUAAUCGGAAUUACUGGGCGUAAAGCGUGCGCAGGCGGUUUUGUAAGUCUGAUGUGAAAUCCCCGGGCUCAACCUGGGAAUUGCAUUGGAGACUGCAAGGCUAGAAUCUGGCAGAGGGGGGUAGAAUUCCACGUGUAGCAGUGAAAUGCGUAGAUAUGUGGAGGAACACCGAUGGCGAAGGCAGCCCCCUGGGUCAAGAUUGACGCUCAUGCACGAAAGCGUGGGGAGCAAACAGGAUUAGAAACCCCGGUAGUCCCAU
rnacentral:rRNA from 1 species